GCUGGGUGUAGUGCUUUUAGUUACAACUAUAGGGGAGGCUGAGGCAGGAGGAUUGCUUGAGUGUGGGAGUCUGGAACUGUAGAAUUCUAUGCAAACCAAUUAGGUGUUGGCACUAAGAUAUGCAUGAAUGUGGUAACUUCCCAGGGGUGGUUGCUUAAAGAGGGGUGAACUGGCCCAGGUUGGAAAUGGAGCAGGUCAAAACCCCCCUGCUGAUUAGUAGUGGGAUUAGGCCUAUGAACAGUCACUGCACGCCAGUCUGGGCAGCAUAGUGAGACUACAUCUCUA
rfam:Otolemur garnettii contig136131, whole genome shotgun sequence.